rnacentral:rRNA from 1 species
UUGAACGCUGGCGGCAUGCCUUACACAUGCCAGUCGCACGGCAGCACGGGUGCUUGCACCUGGUGGCGCGUGGCGAACGGGUGAGUAAUACAUCGGAACAUGUCCUGUAGUGGGGGAUAGCCCGGCGAAAGCCGGAUUAAUACCGCAUACGAUCCACGGAUGAAAGCGGGGGACCUUCGGGCCUCGCGCUAUAGGGUUGGCCGAUGGCUGAUUAGCUAGUUGGUGGGGUAAAGGCCUACCAAGACGACGAUCAGUAGCUGGUCUGAGAGGACGACCAGCCACACUGGGACUGAGACACGGCCCAGACUCCUACGGGAGGCAGCAGUGGGGAAUUUUGGACAAUGGGCGAAAGCCUGAUCCAGCAAUGCCGCGUGUGUGAAGAAGGACUUCGGGUUGUAAAGCACUUUUGUCCGGAAAGAAAUCCUUGACUCUAAUACAGUCGGGGGAUGACGGUACCGGAAGAAUAAGCACCGGCUAACUACGUG